rnacentral:rRNA from 1 species
UACGGAGGAUGCAAGCGUUAUCCGGAAUGACUGGGCGUAAAGCGUCCGCAGGCGGCAAUGUAAGUCUGCUGUCAAAGCGUCUGGCUCAACCAGAUAAAGGCAGUGGAAACUACAUAGCUAGAGUAAGGUAGGGGUAGAGGGAAUUCCUGGUGUAGCGGUGAAAUGCGUAGAGAUCAGGAAGAACACCGGUGGCGAAAGCGCUCUGCUGGACCUUAACUGACACUGAGGGACGAAAGCUAGGGGAGCGAAUGGG